CAGGAAUGGGUGUUGUAAAAGUCAAGUCAGCAUGUAUGAGAACACCAAUCUAUAAGAGUGUUCAACAAAGGAAGGCAUUGUUAUUUUACUAUCAUUAUUUUUACUACUUUAUGUUAUUUUGGAAAGAGCCAAGUCACCGAGGUGUCUUCUAUUAAAUCAAUUAGCCUGGAAGGAGAACUAAGCAAGAUGAGAAACUGAACGUAUCUGUGACUCUGCAAGCAGUCCCUGACGCUGUGGUGGGAUCCAGGCCUGGACGCUGUGGAUAAGGGCUGCUGUGGCCAAAAUAAUUAUUGAUAACAGAAUUUUUGAAUCAAGAGAACUACUCUAUCCAAUGAGCUAAGGCGAGAAAACCUGGCAGCAAGUACAAUGUCCUACUGUGAUUAUUUCAGGAAACCAGCAACAUGGGGACAGAUAAAAGUAAGAAGCAGGUUACCUUCGCUCUCUGGUUUUGGAACCACACCUGGACGACACGGACACUCAGCCCUGUCUCUGCAGCCAGAGUCUCUCUCACCUUGGAAAAAUUGAACGAGAAAUGUAGACACACUGGCAUCUCAGGGUAGGAGGUAGAACAUCUCCUAUAUAAUACUUGAGGAGGCCAAAAGACUGUAUCUGCUUUAGGAGCUGAAUAGUUUUUAAUGUUGAGCAUACACACAAACACGAGAACAUUGCUUCCCUUCAGGUAGAAAGAAAGUCCUUCACCAGGUAACUUUGGGUGUUUCAUGAAUAUCCAUAGUGACUGCUACCCCAAGUGAGCCCUGCCCAAAGAGAAUAAAAUGAGAGCCAUCUGGAACCCGGCAGAGCCAGGAAGUGUGGCCACAGGACUACAUUCUGGCCAACACAUAUGAGGAGAAAUGAUUUGAGCAACCCCUGGAUACAUCCUUAAAAAGCAGGGCGCUUGCCCUCCAUUUCCUCUUUCUCUACCUGGUGACUGGAAACAUGGUGACAACUGGAGCAGUCGCUUGGACACAGGAGAUGGAUAACAGAGCCACCCACCAGCCUUGCCUUGCUCACCUCUGGACUGUGACAGAAGAGAAUAAACUCCUGUCUCAUUAAACCACUGUAUUUUUUUUUACAUGAAUGUCCAUAGCAGUCCUAUUUGAAACAGUCCCAAACUAGAAACAACCCCAAACACCCAUCAACAGGUGCAUGGACAAACCAAUCAUGGCACACCUAUACAGUGGAAUGCUGAAAUAGGAAUGAAUGAAUCCCCAAACCACCACACCAAGUGGAAAAAGCCAGACUCAAAAAAGAGUACUGCAAGCCACUGUGUUUUUAUACUCUUUGCUUUACAGCAUCUGGGUCUACACCACAAUGGACACCUAUCAUUAUUACUGUUCCCAUUGUGCUCUAUGAAAUGAAAGGUGUGACAG
rnacentral:lncRNA from 10 species